AAACCAGCACCUCAAGUGGUCAGGAUGAUUAUUGGGCCUAAAGCAUCCGUAGCCGGCUCUGUAAGUUUUCGGUUAAAUCUGUACGCUUAACGUACAGGCUGCCGGGAAUACUGCAGAGCUAGGGAGUGGGAGAGGUAGACGGUACUCGGGAGGAAGUGGUAAAAUGCUUUGAUCUCUCGAUGACCACCUGUGGCGAAGGCGGUCUACCAGAACACGUUCGACGGUGAGGGAUGAAAGCUGGGGGAGCAAACCGGAUUAGAAACCCGGGUAGUCC
rnacentral:rRNA from 1 species